rnacentral:rRNA from 1 species
UACGGAGGGGGCUAGCGUUGUUCGGAAUUACUGGGCGUAAAGCGCGCGUAGGCGGACCUGCAAGUCGGGGGUGAAAGCCCGAGGCUCAACCUCGGAACUGCCUUCGAUACUGCGGGUCUCGAGUCCGGGAGAGGUGAGUGGAAUUCCUAGUGUAGAGGUGAAAUUCGUAGAUAUUCGCAAGAACACCAGUGGCGAAGGCGGCUCACUGGCCCGAUACUGACGCUGAGGCACGAAAGCCAGGGGAGCAAACGGG